GUCAGAAGCAGGAAGCACACGACUGAGGGAGCUGGUUACCAUAUGAUGACAGCCUGGCUUGAGUCCUACCUAAUUUUGGUAGCUCAGAGGCCUCCAAAGGGGAUGGAAACUAACCACAUGUGAUGCAGCUCUCGAGAGGAAUUCAGCUUUUCUGGGGACUAUCAAUGACCAUUGAGUAAAGACCUUACUUCAGGAAUUGGACGUUCAGCUACACCUUUUUACAGCAAGUCUCUUUUUAAAGAUCUGGUCUAGAUACUCACCAUGCUGCUCUGCUCUUGCAAACAAUCCCCACAGCUCCUCCCCUCAAAGCAUGCUUCCCAGAGAAGAAGAAGAACCAAGGAACCUAUUAUUUGCAGACUUAGAAGUGCCUGAAGAGGACAGGGAUUUUUUUUUGCUAAUACAAAAUGAAAAUGCUAAUGUGGAUAUUCAGUUUCAAAAGCUCUUUGUUUUGAGAAGUAUGGUCUAGUGAGAAGGUACUGCAGUGGGAAACUGUGAUAAAUGGCUCCAUCCUGUCCCUUACUUGUGGUGUCACCCUGAACCAGCCACAAUCUCCCGGGAUGCUACUGAUGUCAUUGGGACAAUGGGGUCAAUACUGUCUUGACCUGGAGGAAUGCCAACAGCUCUUUUCUGGCUCCUCAAGGGUUUCUGCAUUAUAACCUCACAAGGAAAAUAAACAUACUGAGGAAAAUCA